GCCCGGAUAGCUCAGUCGGUAGAGCACUUCCAUGGUAAGGAAGGGGUCACGAGUUCGAAUCUCGUUCCGGGCU
rnacentral:tRNA from 1 species